AGGUUCCGUAGGUGAACCUGCGGAAGGAUCAUUGAAUCGAUCGAAUCCACACCGGUAACCACACUGUCGCCCUGGGGGGUGCGCGGUGCACACUUGCUGUGCACUGGCGGCUCCCAGCGUCGGCCCCUGGGCUGGGGCUCUCACGAGCCGCUUCUCAGGUCCGGCGGGCGUCUCCCUUGGGCUCACCCCCUGGGGCUGGCGUCGGCCAAAACCCCUGUAUCCAACCCCUUUUUUCACAAAAAGGGCAACACACCCCAAACCACAACCUCCUCUGAAGCAUCUUUGGUGGCCCGGCCUCGUGCCGUCCACUCCAAACCAAAGACAACUCUCAACAACGGAUAUCUUGGCUCCCGUAUCGAUGAAGAACGCAGCGAAAUGCGAUACGUAGUGUGAAUUGCAGAAUUCCGUGAACCAUCGAAUCUUUGAACGCAAAUUGCGCCCGAGGCUUCGGCCGAGGGCAUGUCUGCCUCAGCGUCGGUUUACACCCUCGCCCUCCCUCCCCGCCUGGGGUGGGUGGUGCGGAUCUGGCCCUCCCGGCUCCGUCCCUGCUUGCAGGGGCGCCCGGGUUGGCUGAAGCACAGAGGCUUGAGCAUGGACCCCGUUUGUAGGGCAAUGGCUUGGUAGGUAGGCACCCCCUACGCAGCCUGUCGUUGCCCGAGGGGACUUUGCUGGAGGCCCCGCAGGAAUCCGGCUGGCCGUGAGGCCCGCCGGACACUCACUCAUUCGACCUGAGCUCAGGCAAGAUUACCCGCUGAACUUAAGCAUAU
rnacentral:rRNA from 1 species